GCAAAUUAAGAGUUGUAAAAUAAUGAAAUAUAAUUACAGUUUCAAACAUGCUAUCAAUCAAAUUAUUAUUAUGUUUUGUAUAAAACAAAGCAAGUGAUGGUUGGAAAAAGAAAAUUACUGUCGAGAAGCACGCGGCAGAAAAUAUAGAGUCUAGUCUGAGCGGCUCUUUUUUGUAUUUCCAGCGUUAAUUGCAGGCAUAAUAGAAAAUCAAAGAGAGCGCAUCUCCUACCAGAUUCCCCCCCUCCCCCUACUUUCUUCUUCUAUUAUUAUAAUUUUGACCAAAUGGAUUUGGGCGACUCUCUAUAAUGAUAUUUUUUCUAUUUACCAUAGAUUUUCUGAAGGGCCUAUAUGAUUUUUUUUCGUCGUUUUGCUUGUUUUCUUCUCCAAGCCGAAACGUGGCGGUGGACUGACUGGAAAGUGCAAACAUAUUCAACAAUCUACUCAAUCUGCGCUUUUGGAUUUGCAACUUUUUUUUUUUAAUUACACCAAUAGUCACUCAAUUUUAGAUAGUUAAUAAAAUAAUCACUCAAAUUUCAAUUCAGCCACUUAACUUUCGAAAAAUAACAAAACAGUCGCCACUAUCCAUUUUUCGUUACAGAUGCAACAGAGCUACCGUUUUCCGUUGAGCUACCAUUUUCCAUCCCCUAUCACUGCUCUCCCAUCCCUCUCCCUCCUUCCCACCAUCCACUUGACCUCCGCUAUCAAAAAGUUCUCUUUUCAAACCGGAUGCUUCGACAGCAAGAAUCGGAGGAGCAAUCUCACCACAAAAGAACAAGAUGAGGAAUAGGAGCCCGAAAGGAUGGCGAAGAUUGAAGAAUCAAACAUUGUUGUUGGAGUUGAAUUAGAGGACGUUGGUGGGAGUUCGUCUUAGAUUUUGGUUGAUGGUAAGUUGUUCCCGAAUUUUUGGGCUUUCAACCAAAUUUAUGGGCAGGUCCCAAGUGGAAUGUUAUCGGUUUCCUUGUUCAAUAUUUGUUGGCUUUUGGCAUCGUUUUCGUGGUAUCUUUGCCUUUUUUUUUUCAUUAUUCAGUUUUGUUGUGUUGAUGCCUAAAAUGAUUCAUGUUUGAAUUCAUAUAAGCCUAUGAAGGAUUAGGAUUAUGGGUUUAAAUCAAAGUUACAAAAUUUAACGAUAUGAUAGCUUCUGGAUACUAGUAAAGGGAAGAAAAUCUACCUUGAAUCCAAAUGGUGGUUAGAACUUGAACUUGGUUUUGGAGAUUUUAGUUGCAAAGUUCAAAUGAAAAUUUAUGAGCCGGGGAUGUGCCAUAGGAAUAGAAUGAAAUUAUGCCUGUGUUAGAGUCCAAAGCUCCAUUGUGGAGUUCCAAGAAAAAUGACUAAGAAAGAAUGUUCAUACUUAAGAGAUUUUUUGUAGAUUACGUUUCCUCCAAAGGGGGAUAAGGGAAUGAAUUAAAAAGUUCAGAUAAAAACUAAAUAUGCACCCAUGAAAUUUGGAGAAUUAUGGGAGACUAAUUUGACAUUUUAUUCGCAUUUGGGUUUGUGAUGGGAAUUAAGAAGGUGAACAACAUGUAACACCCAAACUUGCUUUUGUGCUAACCAAAUGUGAAAAUGUGGUUCCUGAGUUUGGUGAAACACGGUGGGGAAGAGGGGGGGAGGGAGAGAAAAUCAGAGUAGGGGGGAUGGUGGAGAAGAGGGAGAGGGAUGGGAAAGCAGUGAUAGAGGGAUGGAAAAUGGCAGCUCCUUAAGUUUGUAACAAAAAAUGAUAGCUCUAUUAUGUCUGUAACAGAAAAGGAUUAGUGGUGAUUAUUUUGUUAUUUUUCGAAAGUUGAAUGAUUGAAUUAAAACCUGAGUGACUAUUUUGUCAACUAUCCAAAAGUUGAAUGACUGUUGGUGUAAUUUAUUAUUAUUUUAUCAAUGGAUUUUGAACUUUUAAA